rnacentral:lncRNA from 1 species
GAGGGGUCCGCAUAGCAUUUGUAUUGUGAUUUUCCUAGUAUCCUUGGCUUGCAUAAUUUUUUUUAUAAAAGUAAAAAUAAAAUAAAACAAAAAUAUUAGACCAAUAAAUAAAUAAAUAAUUGAAAAAUUAAAAUGCAAAUAAAACAAACAUAAGACAUAUAUAGAUAAAAAUAGAAAUAUCGAUGUAUAGAUGUAGUUUAUAUAAUAUUCCAAAUGCGAUAAUAUAAGAUGGGUUAUGUAAAUA